rnacentral:rRNA from 1 species
GACGAACGCUGGCGGCGUGCUUAACACAUGCAAGUCGAACGGAAAGGCCUUUUCGGAGGUACUCGAGUGGCGAACGGGUGAGUAACACGUGGGUGAUCUGCCCUGCACUCUGGGAUAAGCCUGGGAAACUGGGUCUAAUACCGGAUAGGACCGCACUUUAGUGUGUGUGGUGGAAAGUUGUUUCGGUGUAGGAUGAGCCCGCGGCCUAUCAGCUUGUUGGUGGGGUAAUGGCCUACCAAGGCGGCGACGGGUAGCCGGACUGAGAGGUUGGUCGGCCACAUUGGGACUGAGAUACGGCCCAGACUCCUACGGGAGGCAGCGGUGGGGAAUAUUGCACAAUGGGCGCAAGCCUGAUGCAGCGACGCCGCGUGGGGGAUGACGGCCUUCGGGUUGUAAACUCCUUUCGCCAGGGACGAAGCGUUUUGUGACGGUACCUGGAGAAGAAGCACCGGCUAACUACGUG